UACGUAGGGGGCAAGCGUUGUCCGGAAUCAUUGGGCGUAAAGAGCGUGUAGGCGGUCCGGUAAGUCGGCUGUGAAAGUCCAGGGCUCAACCCUGGGAUGCCGGUCGAUACUGCCGGACUAGAGUUCGGAAGAGGCGAGUGGAAUUCCCGGUGUAGCGGUGAAAUGCGCAGAUAUCGGGAGGAACACCUAUGGCGAAGGCAGCACUCUGGGACGGUACUGACGCUGAGACGCGAAAGCGUGGGGAGCGAACAGG
rnacentral:rRNA from 1 species